rnacentral:rRNA from 1 species
AUUGAACGCUGGCGGCAGGCCUAACACAUACAAGUCGAACGAGUGGCGGACGGGUGAGUAAUGUCUGGGAAACUGCCUGAUGGAGGGGGAUAACUACUGGAAACGGUAGCUAAUACCGCAUACCAUCAGAUGUGCCCAGAUGGGAUUAGCUUGUUGGGGGGGUAACGGCUCACCAAGGCGACGAUCCCUAGCUGGUCUGAGAGGAUGAACAGCCACACUGGAACGGAGACACGGUCCAGACUCCUACGGGAGGCAGAAGUGGGGAAUAUUGCACAAUGGGCGCAAGCCUGAUGCAGCCAUGCCGCGUGUAUGAAGAAGGCCUUCGGGUUGUAAAGUACUUUCAGCGGGGAGGCGUUACCUGCAGAAGAAGCACAGUCUAACGCCGUGGCAGCAGCCGCGGUAAUUC